rnacentral:rRNA from 1 species
UGAGCCGGCGACAUAUCCAUCGAAGGUGUGCCCUAUCAUCUGUCGACUGUGGCAUAGACGCCCACAGUGGAUUUGACGGGUAACGGGGAAUCAGGGUUCGAUUCCGGAGAGGGAGCCUUAAAAACGGCUACCACAUCCAAGGAAGGCAGCAGGCACGCAAAUUACCCAAUGACCGAAGGUCGAGGUAGUGACGAAAAAUAACGAUACGGGACUCAUCCGAGGCCCCGUAAUCGGAAUGAGUACACUUUAAAACCUUUCCAACGAGGAUCUAUUGGAGGGCAAGUCUGGUGCCAGCAGCCGCGGUAAUUCCAGCUCCAAUAGCGUAUAUUAAAGUUGUUGCGGUUAAAAAGCUCGUAGUUGGAUCUCGGCGGCUAGAGGGCGGUAUGCUUCGUAGCAUUACUGCUCUAUUAGCCGUAGUUUUGCUAGAGGUUUCUGGGUGCUCUUAAUCGAGUGUCUAGGGAUGCUAGCGGGUUUACUUUGAAAAAAUUAGAGUGCUCAAAGCAGGCUAUUACGCUUGAAUAUUCGUGCAUGGAAUAAUAGAAUAGGAAGUUGUUUCUAUUUUGUUGGUUUUCGGAAAUCGACUUAAUGAUUAAUAGGGACAGUCGGGGGCAUUUGUAUUCAAACGACAGAGGUGAAAUUCUUGGACCGUUUGAAGACAAGCUACUGCGAAAGCAUUUGCCAAGAAUGUUUUCAUUAAUCAAGAACGAAAGUUAGAGGUUCGAAGGCGAUUAGAUACCGCCCUAGUUCUAACCAUAAACGAUGCCAGCUAGCGAUCUGAGGACGUUUUUUUUGUAGACUCCUCAGGAAGCUUCCGGGAAACCAAAGCGUGUGGGUUCCGGGGGAAGUAUGGUUGCAAAGCUGAAACUUAAAGGAAUUGACGGAAGGGCACCACCAGGAGUGGAGCCUGCGGCUUAAUUUGA